GCGACGCCGAGGUCCUCGGCGAUCAACCCGCGCAUGGUCUCGAUGUGCGGCGCCAUCUUCGGCGCCUGGGCGACGAUCGUGGCGUCGACGUUGCC
rnacentral:tRNA from 1 species